rnacentral:sRNA from 1 species
AUCCAAUAGUAGGUAACU